rnacentral:rRNA from 1 species
CAGCACCUCAAGUGGUCAGGAUGAUUAUUGGGCCUAAAGCAUCCGUAGCCGGCGCUGUAAGUUUUCGGUUAAAUCUGUACGCUCAACGUACAGGCUGCCGGGAAUACUGCAGCGCUAGGGAGUGGGAGAGGUAGACGGUACUCGGUAGGAAGGGGUAAAAUCCUUUGAUCUGUUGAUGAUCACCUGUGGCGAAGGCGGUCUACCAGAACACGUCCGACGGUGAGGGAUGAAAGCUGGGGGAGCAAACCGGAUUAGAGACCCGAGUAGUCC